rnacentral:rRNA from 1 species
CCUACGGGGGGCAGCAGUGGGGAAUAUUGCGCAAUGGGCGAAAGCCUGACGCAGCGACGCCGCGUGAGGGAUGAAGGUCUUCGGAUCGUAAACCUCUGUCAGCAGGGAAGAACGGUCACUGUGCUAAUCAGCAGUGACUUGACGGUACCUGCAAAGGAAGCACCGGCUAACUCCGUGCCAGCAGCCGCGGUAAUACGGAGGGUGCGAGCGUUAAUCGGAAUUACUGGGCGUAAAGCGCUCGUAGGCGGUAUGUCAAGUCAAGGGUGAAAUCCCCGCGCUCAACGUGGGAACUGCCUUUGAAACUGGCAAACUGGAGUGUGUGAGAGGAUAGUGGAAUUCCAGGUGUAGGAGUGAAAUCCGUAGAUAUCUGGAGGAACAUCAGUGGCGAAGGCGACUAUCUGGCACAUAACAGACGCUGAGGAGCGAAAGCGUGGGUAGCAAACAGGAUUAGAUACCCUAGUAGUC